AGCCUUCUUCAAGCUUUUUCCUUUGUUUUUUGAAGAAAAAGGAAGGAUUUGAAAGAGUUUUGGAAGACAAGUAAGGAAAGAAAAGAAGAGAAAGCACUUUAGAAACGUUAGUAACCAAAAGAUCUCUUUCUUUUCUCUUUACCUAUGUUUAUAUAUAUUGGAUGCAUAUUAUAUGAAUAUGUUAGCGUGUUUCGGUGUUGAUUUAAGAUGGUUUUGGUGAUAAGAGAAGGAAGACAAAGAGGAGGGAAUCAAUCUAGCAAAGAUUGACUUAAAACAAGAUAAGGGGUGACAAGAUUAGAGGUGAUGGCAAUGACGAGGUGGAGACACAGUCAUGAAGUGGCAUGCAAGAGAUAAACGCAUAGGUGUAGAUAGUCAUGAUUAUUAAGGAUAAAGAUAAGAUGUUAAGUAUGGUAAGAUAUUUUCUCAAUAAUUGGAGAUUAAGAGUGGCAAAAUUUUGAACUUGUUGAAGUCAUGCACUCAACCAACUCAAACAUUCUAAAAAAAUAAUAAAAGAGAUUAUGAUUAUUACCUUUAGAGAAAGUAAAAUCAUUGUCAAAAGAGACUUGAAGUAGUGAUGAAGUAUAGUUGGAAAAGUGCACUUGCAAUACAAUAAAUCUUCAAUGUUUUAAUUAUCCGCAUAUGAAUAUGAUAUUUGAUUUAUUUUUUAGAUUAGUUUUUGUUAGGAUUAACAAGUUAUUUUUGUUUGUUAGAAUAAGAGAUAUGGUUGUAGAAGUUAACUAGGUUAGUUUGCAUUUUAUAGCUUUGUUCCAUGAUAAUAGCUUGUUUUAAUGUAAAAUCUAAAAUAUUAGUUUUGAGUUUUAUUUAAAAAUUUCUAUUAUUCUUGAA